rnacentral:lncRNA from 1 species
GCGAUAUUCCUGCAGAAGAAAAGUUAAAAAGAUGCAACUUUGCUGGCUUUGAAAAUGGAGAAUAGGCCAUAAACAAAGGAAUGGAGCAGCUGCAAGGAGCUAAAAGACAAAGAAACAGAUUUCCCCCUAGAACCUCCAGAAAGGAAUGCAGCCCAGCUGAUGCCCUGAUUUUAGUCCAGUGCAACCUGUUUUGGACUUCUAACUUCAAGAACUGUAAGAUGGUAGGACCUACAAAUUCUUGAUUAGAUUAUAGAUGCAAAAAAAGAACCUGGAAUUAUUCCCCAAGAAGCUCCUUCUUCUGAAACCA